rnacentral:sRNA from 1 species
GCUGUUCUGAUCAGGCAGUGUUUUUAAUGGUAAAAGACUGGAAAACAAAUCGAGCUGAGACCACAUACAGCUAGACUAGAGUGUUUUUGCAGGAUAUUUGUUUCCAGUCUUUUACCAUUAAAAACACUGCCUGAUCAGAACAGCCU